UACAGAGGGUGCAAGCGUUGUUCGGAAUUAUUGGGCGUAAAGCGCGUGUAGGCGGCUUGGCAAGUCGGGUGUGAAAUCCCUCAGCUCAACUGAGGAAGUGCGCCCGAAACUGCUUGGCUUGAGUACCGGAGAGGAUGGUGGAAUUCCCGAAGUAGAGGUGAAAUUCGUAGAUAUCGGGAGGAACACCGGUGGCGAAGGCGACCAUCUGGACGGAUACUGACGCUGAGACGCGAAAGCGUGGGUAGCAAACAGG
rnacentral:rRNA from 2 species